GGGGGAAGAAAAGGAAGACAAAGAUGAAGAUGAUGUUGAUGAAUAAGUUGGUUGUAGCUUCAUUGUUUUUCUUGUCUGCAAAGCACUUAACCCCCCUGUACACAACUCACUUCUUUUAAUGAAAAAAAUUGAACUGUUAGGCUCUGUAACAUUUGUUUUUAAACUGUACAGUGUCUUUUGUUGUAUAGUUAACACACUACCAAAUGUGUCUGUAGCUAUUCCUGUCCUGGAUGCAGUUUCAAUAGCCACUAGACUUGCCUGGUAUAGUCUGGGGGUUGUAAAUUGGUAUGGAAAUUUAAAGCAGGUUUUUGUUGGUGAACAACACAAAUUAGUUAUAUAUGAGGACAGCUGUUGAUUUUGUUUUUGUUUGUUUGUUUGUUUUGUCCUGGUUUUAUUUUAUUGUUCAUCUACAGUUGUUUCUGAUGCAGAUUAUACAAAGAUAAUUGUUAUUGUGUUAACCGAAUAGCACUCUGUAUUUGUGAAAAAAAAAUGUGGCUGUUUUGUAGACAUUCUGAAUGCUUCUAAGUAAAUACAUAUUUUUAUUAGUAAAAAGGGACAAAUAUACCCUCCCCAAUAAUCAUGAACGUUUAUACCAAACUGCUGUCCUUUGAAGCAAAAGAGAACAGUCCUUUUGUUACUACAAGUAGAGAAAAACGGCAAGUCUUUUUGUACCCUUGUCAAUUUCAUAAGAAUAAGCUCUUCAUGGCAUUAAAUUGUAAAUGGAUAUUAGGACCUGUGUCCUUAUCAGAGGAGCAUCCCAAAGUGAUGCAUUGGUGGCCACACUAGUCAGGUGGUUGCAUGACAAACUGAAACAAAUGAGUAAGCUUUCCCAGGUCCUGUCAUGGAGGCAUAAGGCAUUACUCAAAGCACUGUUCGUGUGUUAACCUCAUUGGAAGUAUGUUAUAUUUAGGUGUUAUAAGGAAGAACCAGGCAGGACAAGCCAGUUCCCAUGGUCAUGCCCACAUUAUGUUCUCUGGACUUCCCUGAGUGUCAGCCCAGGAUUCUGCCUCCAAGCCUUUGGAAAUAUGCUGUGACAGCAGUCUUUAUCCAAGUGCUGGUAGGCAAAACAUAGUUGAGGAUUCCAAAUCUGUCACUUUAUGAUGGUAAUCCAUAACAAUAUGUCUGGGUCUUUCAAACCUUUCUGAGGAUAAAGAUUCCCGGAAGGUAACGCCAGAAGGAAGUGCUGAUGGUGUGUACUUCAUGAGUUUAUGCUGCUUACCUGUAUCUCAGCCCUUAGUAAGCAAUACUAGAUGAGGACUAGACUUUGUUUUCUCUGCUUGGUUGUCCGUAUUUCACUUUCUCUCACGCAGAAUCGAAUUCCCUCUUCCACAGAACCCAAAUCAUCUACUUGGAAUACAGAGCUCUUUCUGAUGCGGCAUAAGAUUCAUAGCAAACUCCAUAAGUGUGUGUCCAGAUCUACCAUCACAUAGUGAGGAAAUCAGUGGCUUGAAAUAGAAAUUUAUUAUCUAGCACCAAAGAGCUGAGUGAAAAAAAGGAAAAGAAACAUGACUGCUGCUAGGUCACAGCAAUCCUGCUGCUUCAUUACCAAAUUCAGUGGGCAACUCUCGGUAAUAUCAUGCCGGUCCUAGCAUUGGCACAGUGUAUCACUCACCUUCUGUGAUGCUGUGUUCAGCUGUUCCUGGUGAUCCACUCUUGACUUUACAUCAUGUCCCAGUGGCUACUUCUGAAUCCUGCUUGCUGGGACUCCUGUCUGAGAUUAUUUCUUCUGCUGCAAAAAGAAUACUCAAGGUGUAGCAGUGGAAAUAGAAAACUUCAGUAGUAAACUUGGAUUGGGAAGUCCUAACCUGUAUCUAUAUGGGCACACGAACACAGAUGAAUAAGAAGAUCAAGAGAUCACUCCUGAACCCCAGGUGCACAGACAAUUGUUCGCUACCCACGUGGUUACUGGGAAUCGAAGUGUACAGUGCUGAGCCAUCUAUCCAGCCCCCUGACUCAGGAUCUCAGGCAGUGGUGAAAUCUAAGGUCCAAAAAAGAUACAAUUUUCUCAAGGCAUUGUGACAAUUCCAGUAGCAGAGUGGCCAGACAACAUUUUUGACUUCUUGUCUUCUACCUAAGUUUUCUUAUGGAGACCCCGCAGCAGCAUGACAGAGGACUGUGAUGCUCCCAGGUGAUCUGUCUGGAACAGACAUCACUGUGUCUGAGACAUAGAGAAAAGAGGAUGAGUUACAGAUCCCUGCAGAGUACACACACAGGAACUUUUGGCUGUGCUCAUAUGGACCAUAGGUAUCAGAUAUGGGCCAGGAAUGGAGUCCUGUGAGAAGACUUCUGAGUGCUUGUGAGAAUAUUCCUAAAAAUCCAGACAAAAAGCCUUGGGAUCAAAGUUUCUUCAAGAUACCAAAUUGUCCAUAGACAGUGUUUUCAUGAUCCUCUCUGGUGUUUUGGAUAGCAAUGAGUUUACUUCAGAUUGCUCAUUUUUGCUUGCUGGUGUAAUUUAAUUAAGUUUUUAAAUGACCCUUUAUAUGCCUUUAUGGAAAAACAUAAUUUGGCACCUUGUAGCUAGUGCUUGUGUUCUUGUGAUUGUACACAACUUGAACUCAGGAGUAUUAUAUGUUUAAUUUCAGAGUAAUGUGUCUAUAUAUGUGUGUGUAAAUAUAUAUGUAUAUAUAUACACACACACGUAUAUAUAAUAUGAGGCUUUGAAUGAAGAUGGCUUUAGCAUAAGACUUUCAUAUACCUUAUCUAGGGCUCCAUUCUCCUAGGUCCACUGCCUAUAGAGCAGUGGCAGACAGGUGUGAAUAAACUGGGGAAACAAAGCCCAGAGGCAGGAGGAACGCCUUGAAAACCAC
rnacentral:sRNA from 1 species